rnacentral:rRNA from 1 species
AGAUACCCUGGUAGUCCACGCCGUAAACGAUGUCGACUUGGAGGUUGUGCCCUUGAGGCGUGGCUUCCGGAGCUAACGCGUUAAGUCGACCGCCUGGGGAGUACGGCCGCAAGGUUAAAACUCAAAUGAAUUGACGGGGGCCCGCACAAGCGGUGGAGCAUGUGGUUUAAUUCGAUGCAACGCGAAGAACCUUACCUGGUCUUGACAUCCACGGAAGUUUUCAGAGAUGAGAAUGUGCCUUCGGGAACCGUGAGACAGGUGCUGCAUGGCUGUCGUCAGCUCGUGUUGUGAAAUGUUGGGUUAAGUCCCGCAACGAGCGCAACCCUUAUCCUUUGUUGCCAGCGGUCCGGCCGGGAACUCAAAGGAGACUGCCAGUGAUAAACUGGAGGAAGGUGGGGAUGACGUCAAGUCAUCAUGGCCCUUACGACCAGGGCUACACACGUGCUACAAUGGCGCAUACAAAGAGAAGCGACCUCGCGAGAGCAAGCGGACCUCAUAAAGUGCGUCGUAGUCCGGAUUGGAGUCUGCAACUCGACUCCAUGAAGUCGGAAUCGCUAGUAAUCGUGGAUCAGAAUGCCACGGUGAAUACGUUCCCGGGCCUUGUACACACCGCCCGUCACACCAUGGGGAGUGGGUUGCAAAAGAAGUAGGUAGCUUAACCUUCGGGAGGGCGCUUACCACUUUGUGAUUCAUGACUGGGGUGAAGUCGUAACAA